rnacentral:lncRNA from 1 species
GAAUAAUUGCUAGAAUAAAAUAAUAUGAUGACUAUAAGUUAUAUAUAUAAUUAAGGAUUUUAAAAUUACAUUAACUAAUCUUUACCUUCUGUAUCAUAUCUCUACAAAAUUAAGCAGAAUCUGUAGCUAGCUAUGUAUUAUCCUCUACAUGUAUAUGAACCGUACAAGCUAAAAAGAGAAGAAAAAUCUUCAUAACCUCUUCUUGUUAUGCAGUGGAUUUGAUCCUGUAGGAACUCUUCGCUUCUGGGAUUCAAACUCUUUAGCUCGGCCAUGGAAGGAAACAUUCAUCGGGGAUGGUGGCCGACGGGGACUAACAGGCCGUUGGCUUCUGGCAGCGUAAUAAGGUGCAUAAGAGAAGCUCCUCCCAGUUGCUUGACUGCUCCUGGGAGCUAAGAAAAUGAGAAGAGCAAUGAUAACGAGGCAGCUGAGGAGAAAGCCAUUAUUCAUUUUUCCUUUGGAGAAUGUCAGUGAAAGAGAUAUUGAAUAUAUAAAGAUAUAUAGAGAGAGAGAGAGAGGGCAAAGGUCAUAGGGUGUGUGAUGAUGAUCCGACGGUGGUAAAUGAAUCGUGAAGCUAGAGUCAAAGGUAUAAUGACGGUGGGGGAGGUGGUGGAUGUCACUAUAAGAAAUCAAUAGGAAAUGGUGACAACACAAAC